AUGGCUCAGUGGCAAGAGCCCUGGCUGUGGGAGUCAGAGGACGUGGGUUCUAGUCCCGCU
rnacentral:tRNA from 1 species